GACGAACGCUGGCGGCGUGCUUAACACAUGCAAGUCGAACGGAAAGGCCCGGCUUUUGUGGUUUGCUCGAGUGGCGAACGGGUGAGUAACACGUGAGUAACCUGCCCUUGACUUUGGGAUAACUUCAGUAAACUGGGGCUAAUACCGGAUAGGAGCUCCUGCUUCAUGGUGGGGGUUGGAAAGUUUCGGCGGUUGGGGAUGGACUCGCGGCUUAUCAGCUUGUUGGUGGGGUAGUGGCUUACCAAGGCUUUGACGGGUAGCCGGACUGAGAGGGUGACAGGACCCAUUGGGACUGAGAUACGGCCCAGACUCAUACGGGAGGCAGCAGUGGGGAAUAUUGCACACUGGGCGGAAGCAUGAUGCAGCAACGCCGCGUGCUGGAUGACGGCUUUCGGGUUGUAACCCGCUUUCGCCUGUGACGAAGAGUGAGUGACGGUAAUGUGUAAAGAAGCACCGGCUAACUACGUG
rnacentral:rRNA from 1 species